GAGUAUGCUUCAAGGAUGGAUGGAGACAUUGAGCUAUGGAGAAUGGAUAAGACCUUGAGGUCUUCUUGUUCCCACUUCUCCUCAGAUACGGAUUUGGAACCGGAUUCACCAUCUGCUGAGCUUUCAUUUGAACCGGCAGCCUUGGAGAGCUUUGGAGCAUCCGUGAGGCAAUGGCUCCAUAAGCCUCUCCCUCCUAGAGCUGUCUUUACCAUGCGUGACCAGAUGGCUGUGGACUUCCCACAGAAUGUUGGCAACAGGCUUCAUUUUAUCAUUCUAUUGUAAUGAUAAGGAGGAAACAGGUCUUGAACUUUAGCUCUUCAGGUUGCUCAUUUGAAUAUUUAGCACCGCAAGCUUGAGACCGAGAAUAGGUGAGAUCCAAGCUUGAAAUGAGCCUCAAUGAACUUCAAGACCAGGAGCACAUCACCCUAACAGCUGCGCUUAAAUCACUGAUCCACCCUUUUGCCUUUAGCUUCAAGUACCCUCAGAUCACCGGCCUUCCUCAUGGCUUAGGUGGUGACCUUCUUCUUCUUGUGUGUCUUGAACCAGGAGCUCAACAACCUCGUGGCCUGCGCUUCUUAAACCGGCUUCUACACACAAGAACCUUCCCAUUGCUCCACACAAUGGUUGGUCUUCCGCUUGUAUGUCUUGAACCAGGAGCUCAACAACCUCGUGGCCUGCGCUUCUUAAACCAGCUUCUACACACAAGUAUCUUCCCAUUGCUCCACACAAUGGUUCAAGUCUUCCUCUUGUCUUGGAUAGGAGGUGAGCAGAGAACACUUCUUGUGAACCUGAAACACCACUCAAACUCCAGCAAGGAUAAGACACAAGAGUAUUGGGAUCAAUCCUUGAUUAAUCAUCAAGUUUGAUUCCCAAUCUCACAAGCAUUGCAACGAAUUAAAACAAGUCAUUUUCAAGUUCUAUCUUUGCAAGCAAUCUCUCUAAGCACAAGCAUUUUCUUUUUCAGUUUAUGCAAGCUACUUAGGCAUUUUAAAGCUUCUUUACUCAGCAUUUAGACAUGAAUCUAAUGCUUCAAUGUAAGACAGCCACAAGACUAUAUGCAACAGCUUUCAAUUCGGUUUCAAUCCAUGUAUGCAAGCAGAUUCAAUCAAUCACAACAAGCAUCAUUAUGAACCGGAGAUAAGCAUAUUAACAUACCUAGUAAUCCUAGUAAUACUGUUAAAUUACUAGUCCUUUUAAAGCGCUUACACAACUGCUAGUAAACUUAGUAUAACUAGUACACUUAAAGGAUUACUAGGGAACCAAGCUCUUUAAGCAUCCUGGGACAGAUUCUAAAUUCAUUUUAUUUCAUUUAGUAAUCUUUUAAACAGUCCUCAGGUUUUCAAUCACAUCACAACAUCACAACCAGUCAACAACACAAGCUCAUUAUCAAGAUGGUUUAUAGAAUUGCUUA